UGAACGCUGGCGGCGUGCCUAACACAUGCAAGUCGUACGAGAACUCUUCUGCUUGCAGAAGAUAGUAAAGUGGCGCACGGGUGAGUAACGCGUGGGUAAUCUCCCUUCGAAUCGGGGAUAACAUUGCGAAAGCGAUGCUAAUACCGGAUAAUAUCCAUGAAACUUCGGUUUUUUGGAUCAAAUGUGGCCUCUACAUGUAAGCUACUGUUUGAAGAUGAGCCCGCGUACCAUUAGCUUGUUGGUAGGGUAAUGGCCUACCAAGGCUUCGAUGGUUAGCUGGUCUGAGAGGAUGAUCAGCCACACUGGAACUGACACACGGUCCAGACUCCUACGGGAGGCAGCAGUGAGGAAUUUUGCGCAAUGGGGGAAACCCUGACGCAGCAACGCCGCGUGAGUGAUGAAGGCUUUCGGGUCGUAAAGCUCUGUCAAGUGGGAAGAAACUAUCCUGUGCCAAUACCAUGGGAUACUGACGGUACCACUGAAGGAAGCACCGGCUAACUCC
rnacentral:rRNA from 1 species